GAUGUCCAUAUCACGUGGAAACACCGGUUCCCGUAUGAUCACCGAAGUUGAGCAACGUUGAGCUGGUCAGUACAAAGAUGGAUAGCCGCUCCGGAAUACCCGGUGUUGUAAG